CAGUCGCCGCGGGAAUACAGAGGGUGCGAGCGUUAAUCGGAUUUACUGGGCGUAAAGCGUGCGUAGGCGGCUUCUUAAGUCGGAUGUGAAAUCCCUGAGCUUAACUUAGGAAUUGCAUUCGAUACUGGGAAGCUAGAGUAUGGGAGAGGAUGGUAGAAUUCCAGGUGUAGCGGUGAAAUGCGUAGAGAUCUGGAGGAAUACCGAUGGCGAAGGCAGCCAUCUGGCCUAAUACUGACGCUGAGGUACUAAAGCAUGGGGAGCAAACAGGAUUAGAUACCCCUGUAGUCCCUGUCUCUUAUAC
rnacentral:rRNA from 1 species